GCCAGAGUGGUGUAGUGGUUUUAGUGUUGGGCUAUGACCCUGGAGACCAGGGUUCGAUUCCCAGCUCCGCCA